rnacentral:rRNA from 1 species
GAUGAACGCUGGCGGCAUGCCUAACACAUGCAAGUCGAACGAAGCCUUCGGGCUUAGUGGCGCACGGGUGCGUAACACGUGGGAAUCUGCCCUUUGGUUCGGAAUAACAGUUAGAAAUGACUGCUAAUACCGGAUAAUGACGUAAGUCCAAAGAUUUAUCGCCGAAGGAUGAGCCCGCGUAGGAUUAGGUAGUUGGUGGGGUAAUGGCCCACCAAGCCGACGAUCCUUAGCUGGUCUGAGAGGAUGAUCAGCCACACUGGGACUGAGACACGGCCCAGACUCCUACGGGAGGCAGCAGUGGGGAAUAUUGGACAAUGGGCGAAAGCCUGAUCCAGCAAUGCCGCGUGAGUGAUGAAGGCCUUAGGGUUGUAAAGGCUCUUUUACCAGGGAUGAUAAUGACAGUACCUGGAGAAUAAGCUCCGGCUAACUCCGUGCCAGCAGCCGCGGUAAU